rnacentral:lncRNA from 1 species
UAGGCAACGAUGAAUAUGUCCAAGCUGGAUGUGGGGAUGGAAAUGCAAAUUAACGUCUUUGAGACUUGGAACAGCAAUCUCUGUCUCCUGUCCAUGCUAUCUGGAACAUUGUCAUGGAGGAAAAUCCUCCCUUACCUUGGCCCAUUAAAGUAUGCGGGCAGAAUAAAUUGUUAACUCCAACAACUGGCAAAUAUACUGAGAACCGAAGUUUUCCCACUGAAAAGAAGAAAAAUAUUGCUGCACUUGCUAUUAUUGAAAUAUGCCCUAUUAUAAAUAAUUUCUUGUCCUAAAUUCUCAUCAUAAGGCACAAAUAACAUUCACCUGGAAAAUGCAAAGAACCACAUAACUGACGCACAAGGCAGAAAAACUGAAAUGAAAAUAAACAAUUUACAAAUUUGUACAUCAGCAUUUUUCAAUAUUUGGAUAGAAAAUGUCAAUAGUACAAUAUAUUCCAUACUGUAUAAAUUCUUUC